UACAGAGGGUGCAAGCGUUAAUCGGAAUUACUGGGCGUAAAGGGCGCGUAGGCGGCCUGCUAAGUCGAACGUGAAAUCCCUGGGCUCAACCCAGGAACUGCGUCCGAUACUGGUUGGCUUGAAUCCGGGAGAGGGAUGUGGAAUUCCAGGUGUAGCGGUGAAAUGCGUAGAUAUCUGGGAGGAACACCGGGUGGCGAAGGCGACAUCCUGGACCGGUAUUGACGCUGAGGCGCGAAAGCCAGGGGGAGCAAACGGGG
rnacentral:rRNA from 1 species